rnacentral:rRNA from 1 species
UGACCUGGGCUACACACGUGCGUACAAUAGGUUGGUACAACGAGUUGCGAGUCGGUGACGGCGAGCUAAUCUCUUAAAGCCAAUCUCAGUUCGGAUUGUAGGCUGCAACUCGCCUACAUGAAGUCGGAAUCGCUAGUAAUCGCGGAUCAGCACGCCGCGGUGAAUACGUUCCCGGGCCUU